rnacentral:rRNA from 1 species
AAUCAACGCUGGCGGCGUGCCUAACACAUGCAAGUCGAACGCGAAAGCCCCCUUCGGGGGUAAGUAGAGUGGCGUCCGGGUGAGUAACACGUGGGUAAUCUACCUUCGGGUGGGGAAGUAACUCAGGGAAACUUGAGCUAAUACCGCAUAAUGCAGCGGCACCUAAUGGUGAUUAGUUGUUAAAGCGGGGGAUCGCAAGACCUCGCGCCUGAAGAGGAGCCUGCGGCAGAUUAG